rnacentral:misc_RNA from 1 species
GAUGAAGAACGCAGCGAAAUGCGAUAAGUAGUGUGAAUUGCAGAGUUCAGUGAAUCAUCGAAUCUUUGAACGCACAUUGCGCCCCUUGGUAUCCCGAGGGGCAUGCCUGUUCGAGCGUCAUUUCACCACUCAAGCCUGGCUUGGUGUUGGGCGACGUCCCCUUUGGGGACGCGCCUCGAAACGCUCGGCGGCGUGGCACCGGCUUUAAGCGUAGCAGAAUCUUUCGCUUUGGAAGUCGGGGCCCCGUCUGCCGGAAGACCUACUCGCAAGGUUGACCUCGGAUCAGGCAGGGAUACCCGCUGAACUUAAGCAUAUCAAUAAGCGGAGGA